UCCGGGUUUCGCCCGGCAGUCUCCCUAGAACAUUCUACUACCUGCAUGUCCAGCCUGGGUAAGGUUCUUCGCGUUGCGUCGAAUUAAACCACAUGCUCCACCGCUUGUGCGGGCCCCCGUCAAUUCCUUUGAGUUUCAACCUUGCGGCCGUACUUCCCAGGCGGAAUACUUAAUGCGUUAGCUGCGGCACCGGCGGUAACCCGCCGACACUUAGUAUUCAUAGUUUAAGGCGUGGACUAC
rnacentral:misc_RNA from 1 species